rnacentral:rRNA from 1 species
CCUACGGGGCGCAGCAGUGAGGAAUAUUGGUCAAUGGGCGGAAGCCUGAACCAGCCAAGUCGCGUGAGGGACUAAGGCCCUACGGGUCGUAAACCUCUUUUGCCGGGGAUCAGUGCCCAGCUCGCGAGCUGGGAGGGAGCGUACCCGGAGAAAAAGCAUCGGCUAACUCCGUGCCAGCAGCCGCGGUAAUACGGAGGAUGCGAGCGUUAUCCGGAUUUAUUGGGUUUAAAGGGUGCGUAGGCGGGCCUUCAGGCCGGCGGUAAAAUUGCGGGGCUAAACCCCGCCGAGCCGUUGAAACUGGCUUGCUAGAGUGGGCGAGAAGUAUGCGGAAUGCGUGGUGUAGCGGUGAAAUGCAUAGAUAUCACGCAGAACUCCGAUUGCGAAGGCAGCAUACCGGCGCCCAACUGACGCUCAGGCACGAAAGCGUGGGUAUCGAACAGGAUUAGAUACCCCAGUAGUC